rnacentral:ncRNA from 2 species
UCAGGCUCUUAUGACUGACGGAAUUGUGGAGCACACCACAAGGGAGUAAAAGCCUGCUGAAAUUGCCGACCGUCUGGGCAGCAUUU